rnacentral:rRNA from 1 species
UGGGGAUAUUGCACAAUGGGCGCAAGCCUGAUGCAGCCAUGCCGCGUGUGUGAAGAAGGCCUUCGGGUUGUAAAGCACUUUCAGUCAGGAGGAAAGGUUAGUAGUUAAUACCUGCUAGCUGUGACGUUACUGACAGAAGAAGCACCGGCUAACUCCGUGCCAGCAGCCGCGGUAAUACGGAGGGUGCGAGCGUUAAUCGGAAUUACUGGGCGUAAAGCGUACGCAGGCGGUUUGUUAAGCGAGAUGUGAAAGCCCCGGGCUCAACCUGGGAACUGCAUUUCGAACUGGCAAACUAGAGUGUGAUAGAGGGUGGUAGAAUUUCAGGUGUAGCGGUGAAAUGCGUAGAGAUCUGAAGGAAUACCGAUGGCGAAGGCAGCCACCUGGGUCAACACUGACGCUCAUGUACGAAAGCGUGGGGAGCAAACGGGAUUAGAUACCCCGGUAGUCCACGCCGUAAACGAUGUCUACUAGAAGCUCGGAGCCUCGGUUCUGUUUUUCAAAGCUAACGCAUUAAGUAGACCGCCUGGGGAGUACGGCCGCAAGGUUAAAACUCAAAUGAAUUGACGGGGGCCCCGCACAAGA